rnacentral:lncRNA from 1 species
AAACCAAAUUCAAACUAAAUAUGGUAACAACAAUCUAUCUAUAUUUGGCACAGUUAUAAUAAUAAUAUAGUCAUAAUGUUCAAUGAUUACUGCAAUCUUAUUCAAACUCAUUGACAUUCCCUCUCAAAUUAAUGCUGGUAAAAGCAUGAAUUUGCAAUCAUGAACUGACAACGGUGACAAUACUCAUGCCCACGAAGAAGAAAUCAAAAAUUGAGCAUCUAGGAAAGUAACAAUGAGAGACCAAGAAAUACAAAUAGUGCAGAAACAACUAAGAACUACUCUAAAGCCAUUCCAAGAACACUCCAAAGAGCUCACUCUUCAAGAAAAAUUUUCAAAAGAAAUUUAUGAAGUGUGUCGACAUACAUAUUAAGCCUUAUCUGUCGGUAGAACUUAGUUGAACACAUAAUUCGUGUUCUGACAAAUGCUCUAAUGCUAGAACACCGGCCAAAAAUCUAAUAAUAUAUCGUUGACAAGAUGCUGCAGUUGGAAGAAAUCCCACAAAACAGCGUGCACAAAAAGUGAAACAAGAUGAUCCUCUUUUGAAAAUUCAAAAUCCACCCAAGGAUGCUCCUACGAGAAUCUAAAACUCUAGCUCAUCGCUUGAGCAACUGAAACACAAAGAUCUGCUCUCCCAUGUCUCUCUCAACCAUUUGACCCAUCAACAAGAUCCCCAAGUUCCUUAUUGGAAGCAAAUCAAGCCACAUUCCCAAGUUUACACAAUAUUAGCCCACAAAGAGAUACUACAAUUUAUAAUCCAAUUGAUUAUAAUCUAUAAACAUCUAUUAAAGUCUCUAAGACCUAACACAUUCAUUAAAAAUAACGAAGCCCAAAGAAGGAGGCCCAACCAACAAAUCCAUAACAAUAUUAAACAUAACCCAGCAGUCCAUUAAAUCAAAAUUUCAUAUAAAAUUUAGCCCACUACAAGCCCAAAUCUUAACUUCUCAUCUCAGGACUUGAAUCCAACAGUCCAUAUACAAGCCCACUUAAAUACUAUUUAUCAAAUACCCAUAACGGUAAACAAAUACACAGACCCAUUAUCACAAAUUAAUAAUAGAACCUUAACCCAAUCAAAGAAAUCCCAAUUUAAAUGCACAGUGUACUAACCAUAGCCCCAAUAAAUUAGCCUAACUGAGAUUCACACGAUAGUUCGCCUCCACUUUAUUAAAUAGCCCACAGAAGGCGAUCUGCAACACAUGAACAAUGAGUGUUAUAGUGUAAGAUGUCAACGGGAUUGCAAGUACUUAUUAAUUUAUGCAUUUGUAUCUGUGUAUGGUUGAAGAUUUUCGAAUGAUAUGAAGUUGUAAGCUGAUGAAAGGAAAUAGUUAAAUUGUUCAUUAACUUCAAGGUUGGUGUUUGCAUUGAUUGUCCAUUGGCUGUCACCAAGUUGGGCUCUAUAAUUUUUAUCUGUUUCUUUAACUUGUGCAUUUGAGAUGAGGUAUGUCUUCUGUGGUAGUAAGAUGUCUUCAAAAGCUGUGAUGGAGUUCUCGAAUAAAGUAGCCUGGAUUCUGUUCCCAUGCAUAAAAAUUAAGUUGAAAGAUGUUAUGGUAAGGUUUUAUACGAUAGGACAGAAAAUAAUUUAAUAUAAUGGAAUUUUUUUUAGGAUUUGGAAAUGAGUAUUUAAAUGGAAUGUUAAUCUUAAAUGAAAUAGUGAAGUUUUGUGCUUUGUUUUAUAAUGCAUAUAUUAUGAACAAAUUAAGGCUGAAACCUUAAGUUUUUCUUGGUGGAAUAUGUACUUGUUGUUAUGUAUAAAUCUAGAUGGGCACUUUUUUGAGUUCUUUUUUAUUAUACAUACGGAAUACACAGAAUUUAAGUACAAGAACUGAAAGGAACUGGAAAGCUGUUGUGGGAGGCAGAAAGUUGUCAAGCUUGAAAAAGAAAAAUGAAGUUUACUAUUUGAGAGUAUAAUGCACAAGAACAAUAGAUUUGGAUAUAGAAUUCAUUAAAGAAAUUGAAAUGGUGUUCCUUUUUCAAAAGAAGGGAGCAUUG